rnacentral:lncRNA from 1 species
GUGUGUACGUCUGCCUAUAGUUACUUAGUGUGUAUACGUCUGCCUAUAGUUACUUAGUGUGUACGUCUGCCUAUCGUUACUUAGUGUGUACGUCUGCCUAUAGUUACUUAGUGUGUAUACGUCUGCCUAUAGUUACUUAGAGUGUGUACGUCUGCCUAUAGUUACUUAGUGUGUACGUCUGCCUAUAGUUACUUAGAGUGUAUACGUCUGCCUAUAGUUACUUUGAGUGUGUACGUCUGCCUAUAGUUACUUAGUGUGUACGUCUGCCUAUAGUUACUUAGAGUGUGUACAUGUCUGCCUAUAGUUACUUAGAGUGUAUACGUCUGCCUAUAGUUACUUAGUGUGUAUACGUCUGCCUAUAGUUACUUAGAGUGUAUACGUCUGCCUAUAGUUACUUAGUGUGUAUACGUCUGCCUAUAGUUACUUAGUGUGUAUACGUCUGGCUAUAGUUACUUCGAGUGUGUACGUCUGCCUAUAGUUACUUAGUGUGUACGUCUGCCUAUAGUUACUUAGAGUGUGUACGUCUGCCUAUAGUUACUUAGUGUGUACGUCUGCCUAUAGUUACUUAGUGUGUACGUCUGCCUAUAGUUACUUAGUGUGUACGUCUGCCUAAAGUUACUUAGUGUGUACGUCUGCCUAUAGUUACUUAGUGUGUACGUCUGCCUAUAGUUACUUAGUGUGUAUACGUCUGCCUAUAGUUACUUAGUGUGUACGUCUACCUAUAGUUACUUAGUGUGUAUACGUCUGCCUAUAGUUACUUAGUGUGCACAUCUGCCUAUAGUUACUUAGAGUGUAUACGUCUGCUUAUAGUUACUUAGUGUGUAUACGUCUGAUUAUAGUUACUUAGUGUGUAUACGUCUGCCUAUAGUUACUUAGAGUGUAUACGUCUGCCUAUAGUUACUUAGAGUGUAUACGUCUGCCUAUAGUUACUUAGUGUGUACGUCUGCCUAUAGUUACUUAGUGUGUAUACGUCUGCCUAUAGUUACUUAGUGUGCACAUCUGCCUAUAGUUACUUAGAGUGUAUACGUCUGCCUAUAGUUACUUAGUGUGUACGUCUGCCUAUAGUUACUUAGUGUGUAUACGUCUGCCUAUAGUUACUUAGUGUGUACGUCUGCCUAUAGUUACUUAGUGUGUAUACGUCUGCCUAAAGUUACUUAGUGUGUACGUCUGCCUAUAGUUACUUAGUGUGUAUACGUCUGCCUAUAGAUACUUAGUGUGUACGGCUGCCUAAAGUUACUUAGUGUGUACGUCUGCCUAUAGUUACUUAGUGUGUAUACGUCUGCCUAUAGUUACUUAGUGUGUACGUCUGCCUAUAGUUACUUAGUGUGUAUACGUCUGCCUAUAGUUACUUAGUGUGUAUACGUCUGCCUAUAGUUACUUAGUGUGUACGUCUGCCUAAAGUUACUUAGUGUGUAUACGUCUGCCUAAAGUUACUUAGUGUGUACGUCUGCCUAUAGUUACUUAGUGUGUAUACGUCUGCCUAUAGUUACUUAGUGUGUACGUCUGCCUAUAGUUACUUAGUGUGUAUACGUCUGCCAAAAGUUACUUAGUGUGUACGUCUGCCUAUAGUUACUUAGUGUGUACGUCUUCCUAUAGUUACUUAGUGUGUACGUCUGCCUAAAGUUACUUAGUGUGUACGUCUGCCUAUAGUUACUUAGUGUGUACACGUCUGCCUAUAGUUACUUAGUGUGUAUACGUCUGCCUAUAGUUAUUUAGUGUGUACGUCUACCUAUAGUUACUUAGUGUGUAUACGUCUGCCUAUAGUUACUUAGUGUGUACGUCUGCCUAUCUUUACUUAGUGUGUACGUCUGCCUAUAGUUACUUAGUGUGUAUACGUCUGCCUAUAGUUACUUAGAGUGUGUACGUCUGCCUAUAGCUACUUAGUGUGUACGUCUGCCUAUAGUUACUUAGAGUGUAUAUGUCUGCCUAUAGUUACUUAGUGUGUACGUCUGCCUAUAGUUACUUAGAGUGUAUACGUCUGCCUAUAGUUACUUCGAGUGUGUACGUCUGCCUAUAGUUACUUAGUGUGUACGUCUGCCUAUAGUUACUUAGAGUGUAUACGUCUGCCUAUAGUUACUUAGUGUGUACGUCUGCCUAUAGUUACUUAGUGUGUAUACGUCUGCCUAUAGUUACUUAGUGUGUACGUCUGCCUAUAGUUACUUAGUGUGUACGUCUGCCUAAAGUUACUUAGUGUGUACGUCUGCCUAUAGUUACUUAGUGUGUAUACGUCUGCCUAUAGUUACUUAGUGUGUACGUCUGCCUAUAGUUACUUAGUGUGUAUACGUCUGCCUAUAGUUACUUAGUGUGUACGUCUGCCUAUAGUUACUUAGAGUGUAUACGUCUGCCUAUAGUUACUUCGAGUGUGUACGUCUGCCUAUAGUUACUUAGUGUGUACGUCUGCCUAUAGUUACUUAGUGUGUAUACGUCUGCCUAUAGUUACUUAGUGUGUACGUCUGCCUAUAGUUACUUAGUGUGUAUACGUCUGCCUAAAGUUACUUAGUGUGUACGUCUGCCUAUAGUUACUUAGUGUGUAUACGUCUGCCUAUAGUUACUUAGUGUGUACGGCUGCCUAAAGUUACUUAGUGUGUACGUCUGCCUAUAGUUACUUAGUGUGUAUACGUCUGCCUAUAGUUACUUUGAGUGUGUACGUCUGCCUAUAGUUACUUAGUGUGUACGUCUACCUAUAGUUACUUAGAGUGUGUACGUCUGCCUAUAGUUACUUAGAGUGUAUACGUCUGCAUAUAGUUACUUAGUGUGUAUACGUCUGCCUAUAGUUACUUAGAGUGUAUACGUCUGCCUAUAGUUACUUAGUGUGUAUACGUCUGCCUAUAGUUACUUAGUGUGUAUACGUCUGGCUAUAGUUACUUUGAGUGUGUACGUCUGCCUAUAGUUACUUAGUGUGUACGUCUGCCUAUAGUUACUUAGAGUGUGUACGUCUGCCUAUAGUUACUUAGUGUGUACGUCUGCCUAAAGUUACUUAGUGUGUACGUCUGCCUAUAGUUACUUAGUGUGUAAGUCUGCCUAUAGUUACUUAGAGUGUAUAUGUCUGCCUAUAGUUACUUAGUGUGUACGUCUGCCUAUAGUUACUUAGAGUGUAUACGUCUGCCUAUAGUUACUUCGAGUGUGUACUUCUGCCUAUAGUUACUUAGUGUGUACGUCUGCCUAUAGUUACUUAGAGUGUAUACGUCUGCCUAUAGUUACUUAGUGUGUACGUCUGCCUAUAGUUACUUAGUGUGUAUACGUCUGCCUAUAGUUACUUAGUGUGUACGUCUGCCUAAAGUUACUUAGUGUGUACGUCUGCCUAAAGUUACUUAGUGUGUACGUCUGCCUAUAGUUACUUAGUGUGUAUACGUCUGCCUAUAGUUACUUAGUGUGUACGUCUGUCUAUAGUUACUUAGUGUGUAUACGUCUGCCUAUAGUUACUUAGUGUGUACGUCUGCCUAUAGUUACUUAGAGUGUAUACGUCUGCCUAUAGUUACUUCGAGUGUGUACGUCUGCCUAUAGUUACUUAGUGUGUACUUCUGCCUAUAGUUACUUAGUGUGUAUACGUCUGCCUAUAGUUACUUAGUGUGUACGUCUGCCUAUAGUUACUUAGUGUGUAUACGUCUGCCUAAAGUUACUUAGUGUGUACGUCUGCCUAUAGUUACUUAGUGUGUAUACGUCUGCCUAUAGUUACUUAGUGUGUACGGCUGCCUAAAGUUACUUAGUGUGUACGUCUGCCUAUAGUUACUUAGUGUGUAUACGUCUGCCUAUAGUUACUUUGAGUGUGUACGUCUGCCUAUAGUUACUUAGUGUGUACGUCUACCUAUAGUUACUUAGAGUGUGUACGUCUGCCUAUAGUUACUUAGAGUGUAUACGUCUGCAUGUAGUUACUUAGUGUGUAUACGUCUGCCUAUAGUUACUUAGAGUGUAUACGUCUGCCUAUAGUUACUUAGUGUGUAUACGUCUGCCUAUAGUUACUUAGUGUGUAUACGUCUGGCUAUAGUUACUUCGAGUGUGUACGUCUGCCUAUAGUUACUUAGUGUGUACGUCUGCCUAUAGUUACUUAGAGUGUGUACGUCUGCCUAUAGUUACUUAGUGUGUACGUCUGCCUAAAGUUACUUAGUGUGUACGUCUGCCUAUAGUUACUUAGUGUGUACGUCUGCCUAAAGUUACUUAGUGUAUACGUCUGCCUAUAUUUAUUUAGUGUGUACGUCUGCCUAUAGUUACUUAGUGUAUACGUCUGCCCCUCGCAUCAGGCGUUUAGCUGUUUAACCACUAUGUCAUAUUAUGGAAGUCAGUGAUGGUGGGACCUGUUAAGGAUACACAGCUCUUAGACCAAACCUAGACAGCUGUGUCAUCACGUUCUUUACAAUUUGCCAACAGUAGAAUAUAACGCAACGUUGUAAUGGCUGUUGCCACAGCCUUGAGAGAGAGAGAUACAGUGACUUACUUGUCUUUCAGUGUGAGGUAACAAGUUGUUCUGUUUCGAUUUACUAUUGAUAGUUAUUACAAUAGACUACCUCCUACCUCUUUUACGACUGCUGUUGUCCCUUGACCUGACAUGGUGUAGAGAGUGUGUGUGUGUGUGUGUGUGUGUGUGUGUGUGUGUGUGUGUGUGUCCUUGCGUAUGUAUGUCUGGAGUUAUUAAAUCUCAUCUACUUCCGUGUUGCUUUUAUGAGUGCCGUUGUUCCUCCCAUGACCCGAUGCGAUGAUGCUUCCAUUACGUUGUGACAGGAGCAGGAGCGGUUAACGCCCAACCAGACACAUCUCCUGCUGAUCGUGUGUUUUAUUUAGCCAGGUGACUGUGUUACUUUAUGUAGCCAGGUGACUGUGUUACUUUAUGUAGCCAGGUGACUGUGUUACUUUAUGUAGCCAGGUGACUGUGUUACUUUAUGUAGUCAGGUGACUGUGUUACUUUAUGUAGCCAGGUGACUGUGUUACUUUAUGUAGCCAGGUGACUGUGUUACUUUAUGCAGCCAGGUGACUGUGUUACUUUAUGUAACCAGGUGACUGUGUUACUUUAUGUAGCCAGGUGACUGUGUUACUUUAUGUAGCCAGGUGACUGUGUUACUUUAUGUAGUCAGGUGACUGUGUUACUUUAUGUAGCCAGGUGACUGUGUUACUUUAUGUAGUCAGGUGACUGUG